AAGCACGUUAUUCAACAUCAGCAAAAAGAAUGCAGCUUUUUUUGAACUGAACUUCCUUUUACGUUGUCCAUAUAAAUAGUUGUAUGAGAACGAUGGGUAAUAGCAACUUUAGAAAGAAAAAGAAAAGAACGUUUCAUUCUCUAAAAGAAAGAUUCCAAGUCAUUGCCAAAGAGAAUCUUAUAUAAAGAACUAUGCAAAUAAAGGGAAAACAUUACUUGCAGAAGAUAUUGAACUGUUAAAAAAUUGUAGCCAGUAUUUCCCAGAAUGCAAAGGUUAUUUCGGCACAUUCGAAGCCAUGUAUGUGAUGAGUAAAAAGAAAGGUUUGGUUAUAAUAGUUAGCCUCUCAGACAUCGAAACGCAUGGCCGUUGAGGAUAUUACUUACAACUACAAAAUGAUAUCGAGGCAAAUGUCAAAUAUUUGGUCAAAGAAAACAAAGAUCAAGUAUAAUGUGUACGCACGCCUCGGGUUUACCUACAACUUUACAAUAACUUCAUUGCCGGACAGAGAAUCGUUAAACUUGAAAACAAAGGCUCCCAGUUCUUGCGAACUACAAGUCCUCCAACAAAUUGCCAAACGCAAGGAAAGUUAUAUUUAUUUCUCAUUUUUCUACUCUUCCCAGAUAUUUCUUUGACAUAAAUGUUUCAUAUAGGAUUAUCGAAAGAAGACGAAUUCUUUAAGGACUGUCCAGUUCCAGAUUACCACUCAAGAAAAUUUAUUGCAGAAAAGAUAUGUAACAUGCACCCUGAAGAUGCCUCAAAACGUUUGGUAAUGACGAAGGAAGGAAUGCAAGUUGACUCUGUUGGAACAAAACUUUCUAGCUACUGCUGAUUCAAAUCAUUGAGAGAGCUAAAUUUAUUUAACACCUGAACAGGGUGAAGUGUUUCAGAACCUAACACAUUUUACGUUGCAUCUACUUUAAUUAAGAUCAGAUGGUGUUAUAGUGAUUUUGAUAUUUCUUCACAGAUGUAUCAAACAUUUGAUAACCAUAUAACCGAUCUGAAGUCUGUACGUCAAAUGUGCGAGUCAACUCCAUUAAGAAGGUUUUUUUUCCUUAAGAACUAAAUAUAGUUUGCGAUUUCAUUUCAUGAAUUUUUUUAUAAUAGCUUAUGCAAGAAGCUAUUAUAAAAUCUUUUAACCAAUUUAUUUUUAAAAUAUUGCUAUAUCUAUGCCAUGUUGUAUUAUUACUAGUCGGUUGCCCAUGGCUAAGCUACUAUUUUGCGCGACAGACGGACAGACAAACGUAUAUGGGUAUUAUAAUCUAGACUAGUGCAAAAAUCCACGGGGUCGCCCGUCCUUUAUAUAUCGCCUUUCGUGUUUCCGUAACAGGACGCGUCUUUCGCGGACAGACAGACAGAAAACGGCUAUUAUUAAAGAGAUUAGUCGAUGAAGACCCGUGGAGAAAUCCACUUAGGCAGAAGCACAAUAAAAAAAUAGGUUGUUUUAGAUUUUUUGCUGACGUGAGCAGUGCAGGUACAAAAAACCGGCGAAAUUUAGUUUAUUCGUUGCCUGUAAAAUGUAGAGGUUGAACCGCUGAUCAAAAUAAUGUAGAGGAUCAUAUAUUUUCGACAAACGCUUAAGCACAUAUAAGGUUUUAAAAAUGUUGCUGGCGUCAGCAAUGGUCCGUCAAAACCCAAAAAAUUGUGAAGAAUAUAAUCCACUUUGCAAAAGUGACAGACUGACACACGGAACUGGCGUAUUAUUAUAUAAGACUAGUCGAUAAAGCCCGUGGAAAAAUCCACUGAGACAGGAUAAAAAUGAAAAAGAAGGGUCAUUUGAACGUUGAUGACGUCAGCAAUCCAUUCACACACAAAAAUAAUUCAAACUUUGUUUUCACGUUGCCUCUAUUGUGUAAAGCUUAAAGCAGUGAUCAAGAAAAUGUAUAUUGUAUACACAUAUGUAUACACAUAAAAUGUAUACACAUUAAAUAUGCUAAAAAAGCGUUUUAAUUGGUUUAAAAGAGAUUAUUAAUCUCAAAGGUGAAAUCAAAAAAUUCGGAACAGUUUUUCAAAAAUUGCAAUCGACAAGUCUGACCUCGCUAUAAAAAUUUAACUUCUUUAAGUCAUAAAAGCCAACCUUAAGAAAAUUAAAAAGGAACUGGAUUACUUUUCUGUCAUCAACAAAAUCCUUAGUGGAAUUAUUGGCCAUAAUUUAAUUCCAAAUGUAGUUUGUAAAAUAUAUAGGCCAAUAGCUUUUCUGAUUGAUAUCAUUGAUGAAGUCUUGUUCCAUGGAUAAUCAGUAAUUUAAAAAUUUGUGAUGAGCUAAAAUGUUUAAAAAAAAUUUUUAUUUACGAAAAGUUUCAGAUAGUUUACAAAGGUUUCCAGAUUUUUGUACAUAUGUGCGCCAAUUUUGUUAUGUAAAAAGUAGGACCAAAAGCGGGAAUUAAUUUUUUCAAGAAAUAUUUUUUAUAACAACUAAAAUUUUAUAAGAACUAAUUGUUGGCAAAGUUAGCAAGUCCUAGUAUCACAUGAGAAUUGAACUUUUCAAAUUUGGCAGAAAAAAGUAUGUAUAUAUUUUUCUCAUCAAUUUAUACUGCUUUUAUGGGCUUUUAUGUACGUCCUUUUAUGUCAUGAUAGAUAUUAAACCAAACUUUACAUGGUGUACAGCCUCUUUAAAAUUGCUUUGUCUACUACCAAGUUGAAAACCUUUGUCCUUGAUUUUCAUGAAAAGGUUAUACUAUUCAUUUCGGGUCAUAGAAUGUAACAACAUCUCAGAUACACUUUAGGGUAUGGAUUUUAAAAUAUCUUAGCCUGUCUAUUUUGUUUUUUCUUGUUUAGCAGCUAACACCUGUAAUAUAUCGUCUUAUAUUGUCUAGGUGAAUGUAAUAAAAUUCGUAAAAGAAAAACUAUUACAAACCGUCCAGCCCCCAUAGCUGUUGUUUAAGUAUUAGUGACUUCCAUAAAAUACACGUUUCUUUUAAAUUUGAAGAUCUAUAAUAACUUGAAAGUUGA